rnacentral:rRNA from 1 species
UACGUAGGUGGCAAGCGUUGUCCGGAUUUACUGGGCGUAAAGAGCGCGCAGGCGGUCGUUCAAGUCGCGUGUGAAAGCCCCCGGCUCAACUGGGGAGGGUCACGCGAUACUGAUCGACUCGAAGGCAGGAGAGGGUAGUGGAAUUCCCGGUGUAGCGGUGAAAUGCGCAGAUAUCAGGAAGAACACCCGUGGCGAAGGCGGUUCUCUGGGACGGUACUGACGCUGAGACGCGAAAGCGUGGGGAGCGAACAGG